GCCGGUUGCUCAAUGGUUAGAGUGUCAGCCCAAGGACUGAAGGGUCGCAGGUUCGAUUCCUGUCAGGGGCA
rnacentral:tRNA from 1 species